CAGGCCUAACACAUGCAAGUCGAGCGGGCACUUCGGUGUCAGCGGCGGACGGGUGAGUAACGCGUGGGAACGUGCCUUCUGGUCUGGAAUAACCCAGGGAAACUUGGGCUAAUACCGGAUACGCCCUUAUGGGGAAAGGUUUACUGCCGGAAGAUCGGCCCGCGUCUGAUUAGCUUGUUGGUGGGGUAACGGCCUACCAAGGCGACGAUCAGUAGCUGGUCUGAGAGGAUGAUCAGCCACACUGGGACUGAGACACGGCCCAGACUCCUACGGGAGGCAGCAGUGGGGAAUAUUGGACAAUGGGCGCAAGCCUGAUCCAGCCAUGCCGCGUGAGUGAUGACGGCCUUAGGGUUGUAAAGCUCUUUCGCACGCGACGAUAAUGAC
rnacentral:rRNA from 1 species